rnacentral:rRNA from 1 species
CCUACGGGUGGCAGCAGUGAGGAAUAUUGGUCGAUGGGCGCGAGCCUGAACCAGCCAAGUAGCGUGAAGGAUGACUGCCCUAUGGGUUGUAAACUUCUUUUAUAAAGGCAUAAAGUGAGGCACGUGUGCCUUUUUGUAUGUACUUUAUGAAUAAGGAUCGGCUAACUCCGUGCCAGCAGCAGCGGUAAUACGGAGGAUCCGAGCGUUAUCCGGAUUUAAUGGGUUUAAAGGGAGCGUAGAUGGGAUGUUAAGUCAGUUGUGAAAGUUGGCGGGUCAACCGUGAAAUUGCAAUUGAUACUGGCUGCCUUGAGUACAGUAGAGGUAGGCGGAAUUCGUGGUGUAGCGGUGAAAU